GAUGAACGCUGGCGGCGUGCCUAAUACAUGCAAGUCGAGCGAACAGACGAGGAGCUUGCUCCUCUGACGUUAGCGGCGGACGGGUGAGUAACACGUGGAUAACCUACCUAUAAGACUGGGAUAACUUCGGGAAACCGGAGCUAUUACCGGAUAAUAUAUUGAACCGCAUGGUUCAAUAGUGAAAGACGGUUUUGCUGUCACUUAUAGAUGGAUCCGCGCCGCAUUAGCUAGUUGGUAAGGUAACGGCUUACCAAGGCAACGAUGCGUAGCCGACCUGAGAGGGUGAUCGGCCACACUGGAACUGAGACACGGUCCAGACUCCUACGGGAGGCAGCAGUAGGGAAUCUUCCGCAAUGGGCGAAAGCCUGACGGAGCAACGCCGCGUGAGUGAUGAAGGUCUUCGGAUCGUAAAACUCUGUUAUUAGGGAAGAACAAAUGUGUAAGUAACUAUGCACGUCUUGACGGUACCUAAUCAGAAGGCCACGGCUAACUACGUG
rnacentral:rRNA from 1 species